rnacentral:rRNA from 1 species
UACGGAGGGGGCUAGCGUUGUUCGGAAUUACUGGGCGUAAAGCGAACGUAGGCGGCUUUGUAAGUUAGAGGUGAAAGCCCGGGGCUCAACUCCGGAAUUGCCUUUGAGACUGCAUCGCUUGAACACGGGAGAGGUGAGUGGAAUUCCGAGUGUAGAGGUGAAAUUCGUAGAUAUUCGGAAGAACGGCAGUGGCGGAGGCGGCUCACUGGACCGUUGUUGACGCUGAGGUGCGAAAGCGUGGGGAGCAAACAGG